ACUUUUGACCUCGGAUCAGGUAGGGAUACCCGCUGAACUUAAGCAUAUCAAACC
rnacentral:rRNA from 1 species